rnacentral:rRNA from 1 species
UCCAGACUCCUACGGGAGGCAGCAGUGGGGGAUAUUGCACAAUGGGGGGAACCCUGAUGCAGCGACGCCGCGUGGGUGAAGGAGCGUUUCGGCGCGUAAAGCCCUAUCGGCAGGGAAGAAGGAGGACGGUACCUGACUAAGAAGCCCCGGCUAACUACGUGCCAGCAGCCGCGGUAAUACGUAGGGGGCAAGCGUUAUCCGGAUUUACUGGGUGUAAAGGGGGCGCAGACGGCAGCGCAAGCCAGGAGUGAAAGCCCGGGGCCCAACCCCGGGACUGCUCUUGGAACUGCGCGGCUGGAGUGCGGGAGGGGCAGGCGGAAUUCCUGGUGUAGCGGUGAAAUGCGUAGAUAUCAGGAGGAACAUCGGUGGCGAAGGCGGCCUGCUGGACUGCGACUGACGUUGAGGCCCGAAAGCGUGGGGAGCAAACAGGAUUAGAUACCCUGGUAGA